rnacentral:misc_RNA from 1 species
GAUAAGAACGUAGCGAAAUGCGAUAAGUAAUGUGAAUUGCAGAAUUCAGUGAAUCAUCGAAUCUUUGAACGCACAUUGCGCCCGCCAGUAUUCUGGCGGGCAUGCCUGUUCGAGCGUCAUUACAACCCUCAGGCCCCCGGGCCUGGCGUUGGGGAUCGGCGGAGCCCCCCGUGGGCACACGCCGUCCCCCAAAUGCAGUGGCGGUCCCGCCGCAGCUUCCAUCGCGUAGUAGCUAACACCUCGCGACUGGAGAGCGGCGCGGCCACGCCGUAAAACACCCAACUCUUCUGAAGUUGACCUCGAAUCAGGUAGGAAUACCCGCUGAACUUAAGCAUAUCAAUAAGCGGAGGA